rnacentral:misc_RNA from 1 species
GCAAGUCGAGUGGGUUUAGGCCCACGGCAAACGGGUUAGUAAUACAUAGGAACGUACCCUCUAGUCGUGAAUAAUUUACCGAAAGGUAAGCUAAUACACGAUAUGCUCUACGGAGUAAAGAUUUAUCGCUAGAGGAGCGGCCUGUGUCCUAUCAGCUAGUUGGUGGGGUAAUGGCCUACCAAGGCGGGGACGGGUAGCUGGUCUGAGAGGACGACCAGCCACACGGGAACUUAUACACGGUCCCGAGUCAUACGGGAGGCAGCAUUCGGAUCUUGCAGGAAACUCGAGCCAU